UAGGGAAUCUUCGGCAAUGGGGGCAACCCUGACCGAGCAACGCCGCGUGAGUGAAGAAGGUUUUCGGAUCGUAAAGCUCUGUUGUAAGAGAAGAACGUGUGUGAGAGUGGAAAGUUCACACAGUGACGGUAACUUACCAGAAAGGGACGGCUAACUACGUGCCAGCAGCCGCGGUAAUACGUAGGUCCCGAGCGUUGUCCGGAUUUAUUGGGCGUAAAGCGAGCGCAGGCGGUUUAAUAAGUCUGAAGUUAAAGGCAGUGGCUUAACCAGUGAUCGCUUUGGAAACUGUUAAACUUGAGUGCAGAAGGGGAGAGUGGAAUUCCAUGUGUAGCGGUGAAAUGCGUAGAUAUAUGGAGGAACACCGGUGGCGAAAGCGGCUCUCUGGUCUGUAACUGACGCUGAGGCUCGAAAGCGUGGGGAGCAAACAGG
rnacentral:rRNA from 1 species